rnacentral:rRNA from 1 species
UACGGGGGGGGCAAGCGUUGUUCGGAAUUACUGGGCGUAAAGGGCUCGUAGGUGGCCAACUAAGUCAGACGUGAAAUCCCUCGGCUUAACCUGGGAACUGCGUCUGAUACUGGGAGGCUUGAGCAUGGGAGAGGGAUGUAGAAUUCCAGGUGUAGCGGUGAAAUGCGUAGAUAUCUGGAGGAAUACCGGUGGCGAAGGCGGCAUCCUGGACCAUAACUGACGCUGAGGCGCGAAAGCUAGGGGAGCAAACGGG